rnacentral:rRNA from 1 species
CCCCCAGUAGCGGCGAGCGAACGGGGAGCAGCCCAGAGCCUGAAUCAGUGUGUGUGUUAGUGGAAGCGUCUGGAAAGGCGCGCGAUACAGGGUGACAGCCCCGUACACAAAAAUGCACAUGCUGUGAGCUCGAUGAGUAGGGCGGGACACGUGGUAUCCUGUCUGAAUAUGGGGGGACCAUCCUCCAAGGCUAAAUACUCCUGACUGACCGAUAGUGAACCAGUACCGUGAGGGAAAGGCGAAAAGAACCCCGGCGAGGGGAGUGAAAAAGAACCUGAAACCGUGUACGUACAAGCAGUGGGAGCACGCUUAGGCGUGUGACUGCGUACCUUUUGUAUAAUGGGUCAGCGACUUAUAUUCUGUAGCAAGGUUAACCGAAUAGGGGAGCCGAAGGGAAACCGAGUCUUAACUGGGCGUUAAGUUGCAGGGUAUAGACCCGAAACCCGGUGAUCUAGCCAUGGGCAGGUUGAAGGUUGGGUAACACUAACUGGAGGACCGAACCGACUAAUGUUGAAAAAUUAGCGGAUGACUUGUGGCUGGGGGUGAAAGGCCAAUCAAACCGGGAGAUAGCUGGUUCUCCCCGAAAGCUAUUUAGGUAGCGCCUCGUGAAUUCAUCUCCGGGGGUAGAGCACUGUUUCGGCAAGGGGGUCAUCCCGACUUACCAACCCGAUGCAAACUGCGAAUACCGGAGAAUGUUAUCACGGGAGACACACGGCGGGUGCUAACGUCCGUCGUGAAGAGGGAAACAACCCAGACCGCCAGCUAAGGUCCCAAAGUCAUGGUUAAGUGGGAAACGAUGUGGGAAGGCCCAGACAGCCAGGAUGUUGGCUUAGAAGCAGCCAUCAUUUAAAGAAAGCGUAAUAGCUCACUGGUCGAGUCGGCCUGCGCGGAAGAUGUAACGGGGCUAAACCAUGCACCGAAGCUGCGGCAGCGACACUAUGUGUUGUUGGGUAGGGGAGCGUUCUGUAAGCCUGUGAAGGUGUGCUGUGAGGCAUGCUGGAGGUAUCAGAAGUGCGAAUGCUGACAUAAGUAACGAUAAAGCGGGUGAAAAGCCCGCUCGCCGGAAGACCAAGGGUUCCUGUCCAACGUUAAUCGGGGCAGGGUGAGUCGACCCCUAAGGCGAGGCCGAAAGGCGUAGUCGAUGGGAAACAGGUUAAUAUUCCUGUACUUGGUGUUACUGCGAAGGGGGGACGGAGAAGGCUAUGUUGGCCGGGCGACGGUUGUCCCGGUUUAAGCGUGUAGGCUGGUUUUCCAGGCAAAUCCGGAAAAUCAAGGCUGAGGCGUGAUGACGAGGCACUACGGUGCUGAAGCAACAAAUGCCCUGCUUCCAGGAAAAGCCUCUAAGCAUCAGGUAACAUCAAAUCGUACCCCAAACCGACACAGGUGGUCAGGUAGAGAAUACCAAGGCGCUUGAGAGAACUCGGGUGAAGGAACUAGGCAAAAUGGUGCCGUAACUUCGGGAGAAGGCACGCUGAUAUGUAGGUGAAGCGACUUGCUCGUGGAGCUGAAAUCAGUCGAAGAUACCAGCUGGCUGCAACUGUUUAUUAAAAACACAGCACUGUGCAAACACGAAAGUGGACGUAUACGGUGUGACGCCUGCCCGGUGCCGGAAGGUUAAUUGAUGGGGUUAGCGCAAGCGAAGCUCUUGAUCGAAGCCCCGGUAAACGGCGGCCGUAACUAUAACGGUCCUAAGGUAGCGAAAUUCCUUGUCGGGUAAGUUCCGACCUGCACGAAUGGCGUAAUGAUGGCCAGGCUGUCUCCACCCGAGACUCAGUGAAAUUGAACUCGCUGUGAAGAUGCAGUGUACCCGCGGCAAGACGGAAAGACCCCGUGAACCUUUACUAUAGCUUGACACUGAACAUUGAGCCUUGAUGUGUAGGAUAGGUGGGAGGCUUUGAAGUGUGGACGCCAGUCUGCAUGGAGCCGACCUUGAAAUACCACCCUUUAAUGUUUGAUGUUCUAACGUUGACCCGUAAUCCGGGUUGCGGACAGUGUCUGGUGGGUAGUUUGACUGGGGCGGUCUCCUCCUAAAGAGUAACGGAGGAGCACGAAGGUUGGCUAAUCCUGGUCGGACAUCAGGAGGUUAGUGCAAUGGCAUAAGCCAGCUUGACUGCGAGCGUGACGGCGCGAGCAGGUGCGAAAGCAGGUCAUAGUGAUCCGGUGGUUCUGAAUGGAAGGGCCAUCGCUCAACGGAUAAAAGGUACUCCGGGGAUAACAGGCUGAUACCGCCCAAGAGUUCAUAUCGACGGCGGUGUUUGGCACCUCGAUGUCGGCUCAUCACAUCCUGGGGCUGAAGUAGGUCCCAAGGGUAUGGCUGUUCGCCAUUUAAAGUGGUACGCGAGCUGGGUUUAGAACGUCGUGAGACAGUUCGGUCCCUAUCUGCCGUGGGCGCUGGAGAACUGAGGGGGGCUGCUCCUAGUACGAGAGGACCGGAGUGGACGCAUCACUGGUGUUCGGGUUGUCAUGCCAAUGGCACUGCCCGGUAGCUAAAUGCGGAAGAGAUAAGUGCUGAAAGCAUCUAAGCACGAAACUUGCCCCGAGAUGAGUUCUCCCUGACCCUUUAAGGGUCCUGAAGGAACGUUGAAGACGACGACGUUGAUAGGCCGGGUGUGUAAGCGC